rnacentral:lncRNA from 1 species
AUGCCCAGGGGAGGCCAUUCCCGCACUGCUGGGCCGGCCCCCGCGUUUCCCUGUGUCCGGCCGGAGGGAGCCGCUUGCAGGCAGGUACCAAUUAGCUGCGGGCAGCGGCUGGGCAGAGACUGGCUGGUGACUCACUGGGAGCACGUGUGGGAAGACCAAAGGCACUGUUAUUUUACGGGAUUUCCAGAAACGGCUGGAGGAGUGAAUCUGAAAGUGCGAAUCACCCAGCCGGGGCAGGGGGAACCCGGGGCUGGCCGUGCCAGGUGGUUUUGGACCCGGCUCCUUGCAGCAACGGGAGCUGGGAGAGCAGCUGCACGAGGUGCCCAGCUCCCGGGGAUGGAGAACAGGGGAGCUGGCAUCCCUGUGUCCUGGUGGAAGGACCUGUUCCCUGCUUCCUUCCCCAGGUUGGAAGUGGAGGGGUUUGGGGGUCCAGAGGGCUGGGGGGGUGCUGGAGCAGGGACUGGGGGAGUGCCGGGUCCGUUUCUGGCUGCUGCAGGAUGUGACCCGUGCCAGAGCCGUGCUGGCCUGUCCCCUGGCCGUGGUGCCACCUCCCCUUCCUGCCGGAGCCCCGGGAGCUGCGCCGGCGCCUUUGAGCRGGGCCGUGGCUCCUGCAGCCCCGUGCCGGUGAGCGGCAGCUGGUGCCGUGGGGAGUGGAUGUGUCACUCUCUCUUCUUGGCAGGGAACAAACGCGUGGAGGAAAACCCUGGCUGCGCCUGGCCUCCCGCCGCCUCCGCCCCGGCACGGGGCCGCUGCCUGCCCUGCGCCCCCCACUCGCGCUCCCCGGCUUGGGACAGGGCGGCGCGACCCCYGGGAAGAACCCGGACCUGGGAAAACCGGCUGCAGACGAGUCACGUCACAGCCGGGCCYGGGAGCAGCUGCAUCUCCAGGGCUCAAAGCGGCGCGGCUGGCAGAAGGGUCCUGCCGGUGCUGGCAGCGGUCUGGCUCCCUCGCCGGGCUGCUGCGCCGCAGGUCCUGCCCGGACGUCUCGAUCCCGGCAGCUUUCGGUUCCUCUGUCCGGGCCGUCACGAGCUGCUGCGCCGGCACGAGCCGCGGGGAGGGAAGGGAAGGGAAGGGCGGCCAUGGCCUGGCGGCUCUUCCUGCGCUCGCGGGCGGUUUGCUUUGCCGGGUGACGAGUCCGGUCACACGGYGGCCGCGAUUAGGGCAGCGCCAAGGCGCUAA